rnacentral:lncRNA from 1 species
GUUUGUGCUUUUUUCCACUUCAACUUGCUAAGAAUCAGCAACUAACAUAAAGAAAUGGUUUUAGAAAUGUUUAUUUGAACAGGCCUAGUGCCCUGACUGCAGCACCGCGGCUGGCGGAGGCGUCUCACAGCCCAGCUGAACUGUCUUCCGUCCCAUGCGUCUGGCCGGAGGGACGAGCCCUG